CAGCAGCCACGGUAAUACAGAGGUCCCGAGCGUUGUUCGGAUUCACUGGGCGUAAAGGGUGUGUAGGAGGUUGGAUAAGUCAGGUGUGAAAUCCCGCAGCUCAACUGCGGAACUGCAUUCGAUACUGUUCAACUAGAGGAUCGGAGGGGGAAGCGGAAUUCUUGGUGUAGCGGUGAAAUGCGUAGAUAUCAAGAGGAACACCGGUGGCGAAGGCGGCUUCCUGGAAGAUACCUGACUCUGAAACACGAAAGCCAGGGGAGCGAAUGGGAUUAGAGACCCCCGUAGUCCCUGUCUCUUAUAA
rnacentral:rRNA from 1 species